rnacentral:rRNA from 1 species
UACGGGGGGGGCAAGCGUUGUUCGGAAUUACUGGGCGUAAAGGGCUCGUAGGCGGCCAACUAAGUCAGACGUGAAAUCCCUCGGCUUAACCGGGGAACUGCGUCUGAUACUGGAUGGCUUGAGGUUGGGAGAGGGAUGCGGAAUUCCAGGUGUAGCGGUGGAAUGCGUAGAUAUCUGGAGGAAUACCGGUGGCGAAGGCGGCAUCCUGGACCGACAUUGACGCUGAUGAGCGAAAGCUAGGG